GAGUGAAAGAGAAAUGAGAAUUAGAAACAGGGAGGAGAGAUGAUCGAGGUCAUGCAUCGCUUCUUCUUCACACUUCAUUUUCUAGCUGCUGGGAUUAACUGAGAAUAAAACAUACCUGAGCGCGAAAUCAGACAAAACAAACAAACAAACAAGAAAAUGACUCCGAUUCUGAUUUUUCUUUUAUUUGUAUUUCAAGGUGUUGAAAGUGAUGAGGAGAUUUUAAAUGAGAAUCAAUCUGGGUCCAUCUCUUGCUCCGGGGAACAUACAGCCUCAAUCUUUUGGCUUCGGAUGAGAGGAAACGGCUUUGAGUACAUUGGGACCUACAGCAAGAGUAAGAAAAAAGGCACAUCAGCUGACGAGAAUAAAUUUACAAUGAAAGAGAACUCUCUGGAAGUGAAGAAUUUUCAGCAGGAGACGGACAGUGGCUAUUACAGCUGCGUGUCCCUCAACAAUAACGUGCUGAAGUUCGGCACCAUGGUCAAACUGCGCGGAGAGAAAGUCCAGUCAACAGCUAAACCGAAAAUAACAACAGUUCAGCCAGUGACCACCAAGACAACUGCUGCAGUGACAUGCCCACAGAAUACCAAAGGGAAAAAGACUGGAAAUAUAGAUGUGCUUUUGGCUUGUGAGCAGUACAUCCUCAUUCCUUUGGUUGCUGGCUGUGGAAUACUGCUCCUGAUUCUGGUCAUCACCAUCGUUUACUGCAAUCAGAAAAUAAAAACAGCCCCAGGUUUAACACUUCUCAAUGAGACCCUCUGAUUGGCUGUGGUGUAUAAGAACAAGACGAUGCCCUCAUCAUUACAAAAGACAUCCCCGAAGCAGACCAGCGGGCCACAAAACUCUACCCAAUCCUGCAGACUAUUAGCCUAUCAGUGGCCAAGAAAACUAUUGCUGAACAUUUCAUUUCAAAUACAUUUUUUUAAAAAGAAAAAGUCAUACUUAUUUUGUGAUAUAUAUAUACGUAUAUCCCAGAUUUACUUCUGAUCACAUUAUUUCUGUAGUAGUAUCUGUUUGAUGUGUUAAAUCAUAUGCUCUGUUUGGAAAUGUUUUGUAGAUAAUUUUAAUAGAUGUAUGAUAGAUGUUGUUUUUUUUUUAA